GCGGUCGUGGUGGAAUUGGUAGACACGCAUGUUUGAGGUGCAUGUGCCGAAAGGUGUGAGAGUUCGAGUCUCUCCGACCGCACCA
rnacentral:tRNA from 1 species